rnacentral:rRNA from 1 species
UACGUAGGGUGCGAGCGUUGUCCGGAAUUAUUGGGCGUAAAGAGCUCGUAGGCGGUCUGUCGCGUCGAUCGUGAAAACUUGGGGCUUAACCCUGAGCUUGCGGUCGAUACGGGCAUGACUGGAGUUCGGCAGGGGGAGACUGGAAUUCCUGGUGUAGCGGUGAAAUGCGCAGAUAUCAGGAGGAACACCGGUGGCGAAGGCGGGUCUCUGGGCCGAUACUGACGCUGAGGAGCGAAAGCGUGGGGGAGCGAACAGG